rnacentral:lncRNA from 1 species
CAACUUGUGUCGAGGUCCUGAUCCUUAUGUCUCCAUCUCUUAGGUGCCGGGAACCCAGGAAGAUUUGAUUCUGUCCCGUUCGUUUUUUUCCAUGAAGAUAUCAACCAUUCUAUUUUAUAUCUCUGUAAAGAUUUCUGCUUCAGAGGACUUAGCCUGUUGUACAAACAGAGAGAUGAACUGGAAGAGUUUUGGAAUAUUCUCUGGAAUCUGAUAUGGCAUAGCAGAGGUUUGUUCCUUCCUGUUGAAGACAGGAGACAUUUCCUCUGGUGCAUGGACAUGGUUUGUUUCAAAGCCUCCAGGACUUUGCUCUUUCUGAUUUUUUAAACUCUUAUAGAACUAAAUAAAUCCCAAUAAACAGCCUGAUUAUUUCAUUAAGAUUUGAAUAAAUUCUCUUAAUUGAAAGUGGACCAGGUGGAUCAAGAGUUAAGGGUCAUCUUCAGCUAUACACCAAAUUUGAGGGCAGUUCAGAUUACAUGAG